UGAGGAAUUUUGCGCAAUGGGGGAAACCCUGACGCAGCAACGCCGCGUGGGCGAUGAAGGCCUUCGGGUCGUAAAGCCCUGUCGGGCGGGAAGAACGCUCUUGGUCGAAGGACUGGGGGGUGACGGUACCGCCAGAGGAAGCACCGGCUAACUCCGUGCCAGCAGCCGCGGUAAUACGGAGGGAGCAAGCGUUAUUCGGAAUUACUGGGCGUACAGGGCGUGCAGGCGGGAGAGCAAGUCUGAUGUGAAAGCCCGGGGCUUAACCCCGGAAGGGCAUUGGAAACUGCGUUUCUUGAGUUCUGGAGAGGAAGGGAGAAGUCCCGGUGG
rnacentral:rRNA from 1 species